GAUGAACGCUGGCGGCGUGCCUAAUACAUGCAAGUCGAGCGAACGGACGAGAAGCUUGCUUCUCUGAUGUUAGCGGCGGACGGGUGAGUAACACGUGGAUAACCUACCUUUAAGACUGGGAUAACUUCGGGAAACCGGAGCUAAUACCGGAUAAUAUUUUGAACCGCAUGGUUCAAAAGUGAAAGACGGUCUUGCUGUCACUUAUAGAUGGAUCCGCGCUGCAUUAGCUAGUUGGUAAGGUAACGGCUUACCAAGGCAACGAUGCAUAGCCGACCUGAGAGGGUGAUCGGCCACACUGGAACUGAGACACGGUCCAGACUCCUACGGGAGGCAGCAGUAGGGAAUCUUCCGCAAUGGGCGAAAGCCUGACGGAGCAACGCCGCGUGAGUGAUGAAGGUCUUAGGAUCGUAAAACUCUGUUAUUAGGGAAGAACAUAUGUGUAAGUAACUGUGCACAUCUUGACGGUACCUAAUCAGAAAGCCACGGCUAACUACGUG
rnacentral:rRNA from 1 species